UCGGACCCGAUCCAUCAACAGCCUCGCCUUCUCCAAUCUCCCCCACAGACCGAUGACGACGACGACGACGAUAACCAUGGAAACACAAAAAACAAAAAUAUCUGCAAUUUUUUCCCCCGGAAAAAGAAGGGCCAAAAGGAAAAGGAAGAAGGAGAAGCCCCCAUAGGAAGAAGGCCAAUUGACCACUCUCUCUUUCUCUCUCCUUCUCUCUCUCUCUCUCUCCCGCCAUGGUUUCCCAUUGCUUCAUCUCGUGGAGCCCUAACCCUAACUUGUGGAGGUGGCGCUCCCUCUUCCUACGCUCCCCCCUCGAUGUCCAUCCCUCCCCUACUUUUACUUCCUCCAUUGUAUGCUUCCGCGAGGACGAUGAUUCCCCUCUCUCCGACAACCCCUUCCCAGCCGACGCCGGCAUCCUCGUUCCCCGGGCGCUCUCCGGUCUCAAGUACGGUCCUUGGGCCGUUGGCAUGGUCCGGAGUCUCGGUCGGCCGCCGCUCAAACCAUCUACCGGCGGACCGGGGAGCGGCGGAGCUGAUGACGGCCGGGGCGGUGGCGGUGGAGGUGGAGGCGACGACGAGGGGGAUGGAUGCGGGGACGAUGGCGCUGGCGGCGAGGACGCCUAUCUCCUGCCGAUGCUUACCGUCGCGCUGGCGUCCGUGCACAUGGGGUACUGUGUGGGCGUCUGGGCGAGGGACGAGGCCCUCGAUGUUAGGUUUCUGAGGACCGGAGUCGGGCUCUUCUGUCUGCUCCUGGUUUCCGCGCUUCGGCUCAAAUGGUUCACCAGGAGAACAUGGCAGAAAAUGAGUAGUAGUGUCUCAAUUGGUUAACGAAUACAUACAGUGAAAGAAACGGGAACCGCCAUUUCUUCGUUCAGCAACUGCCAACAGCAAACUACAGGAUUCUAUUCGUCCAUUAAUGAAGAAGAGAUUACACUACGCUUUACAACGUCAGUUGACGGUCAUGAGAACUACACGCCACAUGGAUAUAAAUAUAUUUGAAACGUUUAGUAGACAACGUUCUCAAAUAAGUGCGAUCAGAAUAUCUUGUUUGUUGGACAAUGACUAUUUUACUCAUGGAACCGUUUACUUGGGAUCUCCAAGCGCUUCUGCCCUCCAGCUAGCUAGUGCACGUACCAGUUUCAGCAUUCAGCCAAAGGUUUCUAACACUUUGCAUUCAGCUUCUUGUCCUCCAGCUAGUGCACAUACCAGUUUCAGCAUUCAGGCAAAGGUUUCAAAAUCUUUAACAUCCACCAUUCCUGCAACUUGGAGUCCCUGACCGUUUCAAGCACAUUUUCUUAUAAAUUUGCAAAUGCAAGACAUGCCAAAGUCUAGGUUAGAUGAUGCUUAGCUAGAGGGAAUUUUUAAACACAAAAGACAGUCUAAUGGAUGACAAAGAUGUAAGCCUUCUUGGAGAACUGGACUGUUAAAAUGGAUUAUUCUCUUCAAGGUUUAUGGUCGACAAAAUAACUGCAGUGAUCAAGGAUGGCAUCAAUGAAGUAAGUCUGCAGAACAACUCUGUGUUUCUAAAAUGGUUAUAUAUUCUGAUUGGGCAUCUUUUUUUUUCCUGACAUAGAAAGAUGGAUGAUAGUGGGUCACCAAAAUCAGCGCAUGCAUAUAAAUAUGUAUGAAAUGACUCUGGGAACACUCAAUAAAAUUUCCAGGAUUGAAUUACUGAUUGUUGUCUGUGGUGCACAAAAAAGAGAGAGUCAGAGAGAUAAUUGCAACUUCAUACCCUAUAUUCUAAUUUCUAAGAUUGUUUAGUGUGAACUUGUUGGCCAUGCGUGUAUGUUAUAGCUAACAGGAUGAUAUGUUCUAAUGCCAUUGACCUUGUAGACUUAGCAGUUGAAGGAUGAAAUUUCUGUUUCCCUCAGUUACUGAUAGACUGCAAUAGGUCAUGGUGGGUUUAGUGAAUAAAUGUUUUUUUACUUAAUAAUCAAUCAUGGACUAUGCAAAUCGUAUUCUUCUACUGGAAUUUAUCCAAAUCAUUUUGGUUCUCCAGUAUCUGAAUUGAAAACUUUAAUCAUAUUUUUCCACAGGUGUCCUAGUUUUAUUCUUUACUCGUUAGCAUUGUGCUAGACUUACAUUACAUGAGAAGAAGGGGCUGAAAGUUUAUUCUGCAAUAGUAAUAUGCCAUAUUGGCUCACUACUUUAAGAUUUGUAUUUGUUGUGGGGUAAAUGAUAUUUUAUUUUCUUCUUUGUAUUUCGUUCUUGUUCAGGCCUUUCAUGUUGGUUAAUUGUUCAAUUUGUUUAUUUGACAUGUCUAUGUUCUUAUAGUUAGUUUUGCGAAUGGAAGCUAUUCUUAAGAAGAAGCAUGAAUUGGGAGAAAAAGGUGAAAUAUGCUAGUAUAGUAAUAUACUUUUAACUAUAUAAGGAAAAGCACAUUGAUUGGUAAAAUUGUACCUUAAGUUCUGCAUCAUUUGUGAAACAUUCUCAUAAAACUGUUUGUGCAAUAUGUUUUUCGAUUUAUCUGAUCAGUUAUUAGUCAUAGUUUUAGCCACAAGUUUCUUAAGUGCUACAAUACGUUUAGGCCCUUAGGUAGUCAAAAGCACAUGUUUAGCCACUUAGGCUGACUAGGUUGGGCCACCUAGGCGCUCAAGUGGAAAAAAAUGUUGUAAAAUUCUUUUCGAUCUUCUAGUUUUGCCUUCCUUUAUCCCUUUUCUUCCUUCCCGUCUUGUUUUUCUUUUUCUUUUUCUUCCUCUUCCUCCUCUUUCUCUUUCAUUUACUGUUUCUGGCCUGUCUUGACCCUGCCUAUAUGCUAUCUAGUCCUUUUUGAACAUCUACUGCUUAGGCUCACCUAGUGAUUUUGACUGCUAAGUUGGUGUAGAGAGAGAGAGAGAUCCAAUUGUGACACAAUCAUCGCACUUUCUGUACUAAUUAAGACAUUGUAAAUGGUGGGGUUGGAGAGAGCAUCAUAAUGGUGCUUACCAGGUCACUUUUCAAAUGCUUUGUUGGUGUCGUGCUGGUUAAACUUUUUAAAAAUUUCAAAUAUUUUUACUGUUUUUUUCUUAGUCAUUAUAUACGUGUUAUUUUUUAGUUUUUUACCAUGAGGAAUAUGCUGUUUGUACGUUUUACAAUUAUCCCUACACACAUUUGGGACUUGACAGGAUAUCUCAUGGUCUGCUUGGGAUUUGUAAAUAGUGAACACUCUUACACUAAUGUGAGAUCUGUAAUCUGUUGCAUUAGUGGACAAUUAUUCUCUCUUAAUGUCAUUGUCUUUCUGCGGAGAGUUGCUAUAUUAUUGACGAAUCGAGCUAUUCUUUUAAGGGGAUUGAUUUUGAAAUAUUUAUAAAUAUUUUAAGUUGCAUUUGUAUCCAUAGGGAGACGCUGAGAACAUUGUCAUUAUCCUAGAGAGAUUCUCUUGCUGUUGUUGUCUUUGUAAUACUCAAAACUUACGCAUGAUCUGCAUUUCUAACAAACUCCUGUUUUUCAGUUGGUUGUUUACAAGAUUUCUCCGUUCGUGUUAACCAUUUUUUCUUUUUUCCUUUCA